rnacentral:rRNA from 1 species
AGAGGGUGCAAGCGUUAAUCGGAAUUACUGGGCGUAAAGGGUGCGUAGGUGGUUUGUUAAGUCAGGCGUGAAAUCCUCGGGCUCAACCUGGGAACUGCGCUUGAUACUGGCAGACUCGAGUGUGGUAGAGGAUAGUGGAAUUCCCGGUGUAGCGGUGAAAUGCGUAGAUAUCGGGAGGAACAUCAGUGGCGAAGGCGGCUAUCUGGACUAACACUGACACUGAGGCACGAAAGCGUGGGUAGCAAACAGAAUUAGAUACCCUGGUAGUCCACGCCCUAAACGAUGGGUACUAGACGUCGGGAAGCUUGUCUUCUUGGUGUCGCAGCUAACGCAAUAAGUACCCCGCCUGGGGAGUACGGUCGCAAGAUUA